UACGAGGGGGGCGAGCGUUGUUCGGAAUUAUUGGGCGUAAAGGGUGCGUAGGCGGUUUGGUAAGUCGUAUGUGAAAUCUACAGGCUCAACUUGUAGUCUGCAUGAGAAACUGCCGGGCUUGAGUAUGGGAGAGGUGAGUGGAAUUCCUGGUGUAGCGGUGAAAUGCGUAGAUAUCAGGAGGAACACCUGUGGCGAAAGCGGCUCACUGGACCAUAACUGACGCUGAUGCACGAAAGCUAGGGGAGCAAACAGG
rnacentral:rRNA from 1 species